rnacentral:lncRNA from 1 species
UGCAGAGCCCUGGGCCUCACCGGAAGGAACAGGGCCACCUCCGUGUGGACUCAGACACCACCCUGCCCUGCAGGGUCGGCAGAAGGUGGAAGGCAAUGGAGAGGCUCUGGGGGCCCGGGUGGGAACCGGCCCAACGCUUCUUCGGACGCCGGAGCCCUCAGCCUCCCCACCACGAAGUGCCAGGUGAGCAGUGAGCAAGGGAGGCCCGGGGCUCACGGACGGGCCCGCGUUGUGUGGAGAGCGUGAGCGGCCCCCACUUGCACUGUGUGAGAGGAAGGAAGGCUUGGCACCACCUAGAGGAAGCGAAGACUGCCUCAGGAAUGACUGUGCCUUGCCUUCCAGAAAUUACAGUAAGAACAGGCCUCCUGAGACCCACAGCUUGGACCCAUAGCCCCUGAGCAGCGGGUGGCUGCAGGCCACGUGCCUCAGUGGACACUGGCAGCCUCGUUUGCCCCGGGACAGCCUCCCCAGCACUGCAGACGCCAGGUGGUACACAGACCCUCCCGUGAUCCAGGCUGUGACCCGCCCCUGCCCCCCGCCCCCCACGCCCUCCCAUCUGCACCCGGGAGCGCUGGCCCGUGGGAAGUCACCUGGCAAGGGGGAUCCCAAAUGCGGUCCCCCGGCCGGCUGGAGUUGGUGGGUCAGCGGUCCGGGGUGGGCCCGGACACCACAGCGUGCACACUUGCGGUCUGCCCAGCUGCUGGACUCCCCAGCGCCCCUGGCCGGGCACCUGCAGAGCAGAACGUGUUCCCACCACGCUGCUGCUGGGGACCCCACGACCAGGUUUCUGCCACAGAAUGAGGCCGGUGGCUGUGAGCCCUUAAGCCCUUGGUCCGAGGAGCAAGUUCAGGCUUUGACAAGAGUGUCACCAUGUCCUCAGGAAAGUGCUGUUCAUGUGGGGCCAAGGACCAUCUUGCAAGCUUUUGUUACCAGAACUUUCAUCAAAAACCCUCGUUCUGGCCCACGGGAGGCCACCUGUGCGGACGGACACAGAAGACCUCCACCAAUCACCUGAGCGUUCCUCAUGACCCCUGACGGUGAAUGCCACGUGCGAGGGUUUGCCGCCACGUACUCGUGACUUUGAGCCAGCCGGCCUCCGUGUGGUGUUUGGGAGUGUGCACCUGUGCUCAGGUGUGUCCAGCAGUGAACGUUGUGAACCAGACUUGUGGGUCGAGUGUACGGAACCGUGAAAGACUCCCUCUCCUGGGAAUGCUCCCUCGAAACCAAAGGGAAGGGGGAACACCUGGAGGGCCGGGAGGCCCGCUCGUUGCUGACGGAUGCCGAUGUGCCGUCGGACUGCAAGUCUGCAGACCCGGGCCUGGUCAUCGGUCAGGCGGCCGCCCCUCUCCUGCAGUGCCCGUUCCCAGCAAAGGCUGCCUGGGAAGGAGGAAGAGAGCACUUUCCAGAGACUCAGCAAAGAGGAAGUGCCCUGGACACGCGGCCUAA